rnacentral:rRNA from 1 species
UCUACGGGACGCAGCAGUAGGGAAUAUUCCGCAAUGGGCGAAAGCCUGACGGAGCAACGCCGCGUGAGUGAAGAAGGUCUUCGGAUCGUAAAGCUCUGUCAACAGGGACGAAACAAGACGGUACCUGAGAAGGAAGCCACGGCAAACUACGUGCCAGCAGCCGCGGUAAUACGUAGGUGGCAAGCGUUGUCCGGAAUAACUGGGCGUAAAGCGCAUGUAGACGGCAUGAUAAGCCAAAUGUGAAAUGUAGGGGCUCAACCCCUACACUGCGAUUGGAACUGUCAAGCUUGAGUGCAGGAGAGGCAAAUGGAAUUCCCAGUGUAGCAGUGAAAUGCGUAGAGAUUGGGAGGAACACCAGUGGCGAAGGCGAUUUGCUGGACUGCAACUGACGUUGAGAUGCGAAAGCCAGGGGAGCAAACGGGAUUAGAUACCCCGGUAGUCCUGGCCGUAAACGAUGGAUACUAGGUGUAGAGGGUAUCGACCCCUUCUGUGCCGCAGUGAACGCAAUAAGUAUCCCGCCUGGGGAGUACGGUCGCAAGACUGAAACUCAAAGGAAUUGACGA